rnacentral:lncRNA from 1 species
AUGUAAGCCAGGGACGCUCCAGUUGACACAUAAUAAAUGUUUUUCUGGAACUGUUUGGUCUACUUGAGUGUGCUUUGAAUUGCUGAUGAUUUUAUGUUUGUAUUGUCAUUUUUGUUGCAGUGGGGAGAGUGUAGUGGUGGAGGAGGCGUAUCUCCGGAGAAAUAAAGCCUCAGAAAUUUUUGUUAAAUUAUACACAAGCUAAAUUACAAAAUCAAUUCUGAGAUUUAUACUUGUUAGAGAAUUUUUUAUAUUUUCUCAAAUAAAUUGCAAAUUUUAUGCAACUUGAUGAGAAAUAUCAGAAUGGCUGUAUUUGCUUUUGAAAAAUAUUAUAUCUAAACACAGUACUGUUUAGCAGUGGAAAUGGUUUUAAUAAUCAUAAUCCAAAAUAUUUUCGCAUUAGAGCCUGGCCCUCAGGAACAGCUCCUGAGUAUCACAUGGUGGAUGAAAUCUUUAUUCAAGCAUUGUACUUCCUAUUCUACACACACUGCAGUUAUUUAUUUUAAUACUUUAUUAUCAUUUUUAUAUGUUGUUUCUAUUAAAACAAUUGUUUAUCUUACUUGCCUUGCACAUUUUACCAUGUAUG